rnacentral:rRNA from 1 species
UUGGCGGACGGGUGAGUAACGCGUGGAGAACCUGCCGUAUACUGGGGGAUAACACUUAGAAAUAGGUGCUAAUACCGCAUAAGCGCACGGCUCCGCAUGGGGCAGUGUGAAAAACUCCGGUGGUAUACGAUGGAUCCGCGUCUGAUUAGCUAGUUGGCGGGGUAACGGCCCACCAAGGCAGCGAUCAGUAGCCGGCCUGAGAGGGUGGACGGCCACAUUGGGACUGAGACACGGCCCAAACUCCUACGGAAGGCAGCAG